rnacentral:lncRNA from 1 species
CCGAUUCAAACUUAACAUUUUUACGGUGUGGAUCGGCGUAUUUCUUCUGCCUAUCUUGAGCUGCUACCAGUCUUGUUCGGAUCACUUUGACUAUUUCUGAUGUCUGCUGCACUAAUUCUGGACCUAGUAAUUGUCUCUCGCCAAAUUCAUCCCAGUUUAGCGGAGUUCUGCACUUUCUAUCGUAUAACGCUUCAUAAGGCGGCAUGCCAAUACAAG